rnacentral:rRNA from 1 species
UGGGAAUUUUGGACAAUGGGCGAAAGCCUGAUCCAGCAAUGCCGCGUGUGUGAAGAAGGCCUUCGGGUUGUAAAGCACUUUUGUCCGGAAAGAAAUCCUUGGCUCUAAUACAGUCGGGGGAUGACGGUACCGGAAGAAUAAGCACCGGCUAACUACGUGCCAGCAGCCGCGGUAAUACGUAGGGUGCAAGCGUUAAUCGGAAUUACUGGGCGUAAAGCGUGCGCAGGCGGUUUGCUAAGACCGAUGUGAAAUCCCCGGGCUCAACCUGGGAACUGCAUUGGUGACUGGCAGGCUAGAGUAUGGCAGAGGGGGGUAGAAUUCCACGUGUAGCAGUGAAAUGCGUAGAGAUGUGGAGGAAUACCGAUGGCGAAGGCAGCCCCCUGGGCCAAUACUGACGCUCAUGCACGAAAGCGUGGGGAGCAAACAGGAUUAGAUACCCUGGUAGUCCACGCCCUAAACGAUGUCAACUAGUUGUUGGGGAUUCAUUUCCUUAGUAACGUAGCUAACGCGUGAAGUUGACCGCCUGGGGAGUACGGUCG